ACAGGGAUUGCCUCAGUAACGGCGAGUGAAGCGGCAACAGCUCAAAUUUGAAAGCUGCAGGCCGCGUUGUAAUUUGUAGAAGAUGCUUUGGGUGUUGUCCUUGGAACAGGACGUCAUAGAGGGUGAGAAUCCCGUAUGUGACUGGUGCCCUCCCCCGUGUAAAGCUCUUUCGACGAGUCGAGUUGUUUGGGAAUGCAGCUCAAAAUGGGUGGUAAAUUUCAUCUAAAGCUAAAUAUUGGCCAGAGACCGAUAGCGCACAAGUAGAGUGAUCGAAAGAUGAAAAGCACUUUGGAAAGAGAGUUAAACAGUACGUGAAAUUGUUGAAAGGGAAGCGCUUGCAACCAGACUUGCGCGCUAUCGAUCAUCCGGUGCACUCGAUGGUGCAGGCCAGCAUCGGUUGGUGGUGGGAUAAAGGAAUGUGGCUCUUCCCCACGGUGCAAUGCUACCACCGGGACCGAGGACCGCGCUUCGGUUGUAAGCGACCCGUCUUGAAACACGGACCAAGGAGUCUAACAUCUAUGCGAGUGUUUGGGUGUAAACCCAUCCGCGUAAUGAAAGUGAACGGAGGUGAGGUGCAUCAUCGACCGAUCCUGAUGUCUUCGGAUGGAUUUGAGUAAGAGCAUAGCUGUUGGGACCCGAAAGAUGGUGAACUAUGCGUGAAUAGGGUGAAGCCAGAGGAAACUCUGGUGGAGGCUCGGUUCUGACGUGCAAAUCGAUCGUCAAAUUUGGGGCGAAAGACUAAUCG
rnacentral:rRNA from 1 species